UACGUAGGGGGCUAGCGUUGUCCGGAAUCAUUGGGCGUAAAGAGCGUGUAGGCGGCCCGGUAAGUCCGCUGUAAAAGUCAAAGGCUCAACCUUUGAAUGUCAGUGGAUACUGCCGGGCUAGAGUCCGGAAGAGGCGAGUGGAACUCCUGGUGUAGCGGUGGAAUGCGCAGAUAUCAGGAAGAACACCAACGGCGAAGGCAGCUCGCUGGGAUGGUACUGACGCUGAGACGCGAAAGCGUGGGGAGCGAACAGG
rnacentral:rRNA from 1 species